UACGUAGGGGGCGAGCGUUGUCCGGAUUUACUGGGCGUAAAGCGCACGCAGGCGGGACGGGAAGUCGGACGUGAAAGGCUGCGGCUCAACCGCAGAGCGCCGUUCGAAACUCCCGUUCUUGAGAGCCGAAGAGGAGCGUGGAAUUCCCGGUGUAGCGGUGAAAUGCGUAGAGAUCGGGAGGAACACCCAUGGCGAAGGCAGCGCUCUGGUCGGCAUCUGACGCUCAGGUGCGAAAGCGUGGGGAGCGAACGGG
rnacentral:rRNA from 1 species